UCGAGUGUUAAAACUCCCAAACCUUUGUGAACAUUACCUUUUGUUGCUUCGGCGGGAUCGCCCCGGGCGCCUUCGAGUGCCCCGGAGUCAGGCGCCCGCCGGGGGACCUAAACUCUUGUUUUGUCAAGUGGUAUCUCUGAGUUCAGUUUUUAAAUAAAUUA
rnacentral:misc_RNA from 1 species